rnacentral:rRNA from 1 species
GACGUAGGGCGCGAGCGUUGUCCGGAUUUAUUGGGCGUAAAGAGCUCGUAGGCGGCUUGUCGCGUCGGCUGUGAAAACCCGCGGCUCAACUGUGGGCGGGCAGCUGAUACGGGCAGGCUGGAGUUCGGUAGGGGAGACUGGAAUUCCUGGUGUAGCGGUGAAAUGCGCAGAUAUCAGGAAGAACACCUAUGGCGAAGGCAGCACUCUGGGACGGUACUGACGCUGAGACGCGAAAGCGUGGGGAGCGAACAGG